GACCUCAGGUCAGGCGGGGCUACCCGCUGAGUUUAAGCAUAUCAAUAAGCGGAGGAA
rnacentral:rRNA from 1 species